AACGUAGGUGGCGAGCGUUAUCCGGAAUUACUGGGCGUAAAGGGCUCGUAGGCGGCCAACUAAGUCAGACGUGAAAUCCCUCAGCUUAACUGGGGAACUGCGUCUGAUACUGGAUGGCUUGGAUUCGGGAGAGGAAUGCGGAAUUCCAGGUGUAGCGGUGAAAUGCGUAGAUAUCUGGAGGAACACCGGUGGCGAAGGCGGCAUUCUGGACCGAUAUUGACGCUGAGGAGCGAAAGCCAGGGGAGCAAACGGG
rnacentral:rRNA from 1 species